CCGAGAGAGGGCGCCUCGCGCGCCCGACCUCCCAACCCUUUGUCGACCGACCGCGUUGCCUCGGGGAGUGGCCCGGACCUCGUGCCGGCCGCCCCGGAGGACCCAACCCAAACUCUUGCGUCUUUGCGUCGGAGUGAUAUCGUAAAUGAAUCA
rnacentral:misc_RNA from 1 species